CGGGACGGGGUGGAGUAACGCGUGGGUAACCGUGCCUCAUACAGGGGGAUAACAGUUGGAAACGACUGCUAAUACCGCAUAAGCGCACAGGAUCGCAUGAUCCGGUGUGAAAAACUACCGGUGGUAUGAGAUGGACCCGCGUCUGAUUAGCCAGUUGGCAGGGUAACGGCCUACCAAAGCGACGAUCAGUAGCCGACCUGAGAGGGUGACCGGCCACAUUGGGACUGAGACACGGCCCAA
rnacentral:rRNA from 1 species